UGGGGAAUAUUGCACAAUGGGCGCAAGCCUGAUGCAGCCAUGCCGCGUGUAUGAAGAAGGCCUCGGGUUGUAAAGUACUUUCAGCGAGGAGGAAGGCAUUAAGGUUAAUAACCUUAGUGAUUGACGUUACUCGCAGAAGAAGCACCGGCUAACUCCGUGCCAGCAGCCGCGGUAAUACGGAGGGUGCAAGCGUUAAUCGGAAUUACUGGGCGUAAAGCGCACGCAGGCGGUUUGUUAAGUCAGAUGUGAAAUCCCCGGGCUCAACCUGGGAACUGCAUUUGAAACUGGCAAGCUUGAGUCUUGUAGAGGGGGGUUAGAAUUCCAGGUGUAGCGGUGAAAUGCGUUAGAGAUCUGGAGGAAUACCGGUGGCGAAGGCGGCCCCCUGGACAAAGACUGACGCUCAGGUGCGAAAAGCGU
rnacentral:rRNA from 1 species